GAAAGGCGAAACGUAAUGUGAAUCGCAACUAACAGUGAAUCAUCGAAUCUUUGAACGCAGGCCGCACCUUGUAGUAUCACUCUGUGUUACUGCAAGGUAUUUACGUAUGAGUGUCAGCCCAAUAUCACUUUGGUUCAUGAGGGGAUCAUAUAAUCAACUCGUGAAUACACAUGUGUCAUGAGACAUAUCUCGGGAAACAUGUUUGUGUCUGGCCUCAUAUGUGAAAGGUUACCCGCUGGAUUUAAGC
rnacentral:misc_RNA from 1 species